rnacentral:tRNA from 1 species
AAGUCCAGGGUUUUUAANUUCCAUUCCUUAUCCGAAUUUGCACUUCGGGCUUUUUUUUUCUGGACUUUUUGCCCCCUGCACUUUUGACUAAUUUGCACUUCGGGCUUUUUCCGGACUUUUUAUCCUGGGAA